UCUUGGCCCCCAACAGGAAGUGAAGCUAAGGGGUGGGCCUAGGAUACCCAUGCACUGGAACACAGAGAUGCUGCGCUCUCUUACACAGAGCCAAGACUUUCCAAGGUUUACAACUUGAGGUACAAAGAUAAUCAUCUGCCCCUCUUUAGGAAUUGAUGUCUAGCAACAUAUGGUGAAAUAUUCCUAUCUGCACGAAUAUGUUUAAUGUUGGCAUCACUGGUAUUUCCAGGCAGACGCUUGGACAGAUCUGGUAUCAUCUUGCAUCACUGUGCUUCAUACUGAAAUCACGCAGGACAGGGAGGACACGAUAAGCAGACACUGGAUCAGAGUUCUGGUCAGCUGCUUCUCCCAAGUCCAGGAUGUGGCCAGAGGGUUGGAGAAAGCAACAGAAGACUCUCAGACUGGACUAUCAGCCAGCCCGGCAGCCCUGUCCUGCAGCUCACCAUUCCCCUGUGGUGCCUCGUGCUCCUGAUGUCUGAAAGGACAGUGACGCUGGAACCUGGUAACCAAGGGCUGCGUGUGUGUGUGUGUGUGUGUGUGUGUGUGUGUGUGUGUGUGUGUGUGUGUGUGUACGAGGGUUAGAGGACGAUGUGCGGGGGCGCCUGUGUGGGACACAGCCAGCACGGGGAUUGCACACUGAACGCUGAAGGGAGGCACUUACUAGAGAGCUUUUGGAAAUGUGUGUUAGAGAAGCAGGACGGCACAAAUGUGAUUUAAAAUCAGCCAUUAGAGGAGAUGGCCCAAGAGGACCGAAAGUGAUCCCACUCUAUGAGGUCCUGAGUGAAAGUUAC